rnacentral:rRNA from 1 species
UGCAGUCGAGCGGAGUGAUGGUGCUUGCACUAUCACUUAGCGGCGGACGGGUGAGUAAUGCUUAGGAAUCUGCCUAUUAGUGGGGGACAACAUUUCGAAAGGAAUGCUAAUACCGCAUACGUCCUACGGGAGAAAGCAGGGGAUCUUCGGACCUUGCGCUAAUAGAUGAGCCUAAGUCGGAUUAGCUAGUUGGUGGGGUAAAGGCCUACCAAGGCGACGAUCUGUAGCGGGUCUGAGAGGAUGAUCCGCCACACUGGGACUGAGACACGGCCCAGACUCCUACGGGAGGCAGCAGUGGGGAAUAUUGGACAAUGGGCGCAAGCCUGAUCCAGCCAUGCCGCGUGUGUGAAGAAGGCCUUAUGGUUGUAAAGCACUUUAAGCGAGGAGGAGGCUACUGAAGUUAAUACCUUCAGAUAGUGGACGUUACUCGCAGAAUAAGCACCGGCUAACUCUGUGCCAGCAGCCGCGGUAAUACAGAGGGUGCAAGCGUUAAUCGGAUUUACUGGGCGUAAAGCGCGCGUAGGCGGCUAAUUAAGUCAAAUGUGAAAUCCCCGAGCUUAACUUGGGAAUUGCAUUCGAUACUGGUUAGCUAGAGUGUGGGAGAGGAUGGUAGAAUUCCAGGUGUAGCGGUGAAAUGCGUAGAGAUCUGGAGGAAUACCGAUGGCGAAGGCAGCCAUCUGGCCUAACACUGACGCUGAGGUGCGAAAGCAUGGGGGAGCAAACAGGAUUAGAUACCCUGGUAGUCCAUGCCGUAAACGAUGUCUACUAGCCGUUGGGGCCUUUUGAGGCUUUAGUGGCGCAGCUAACGCGAUAAGUAGACCGCCUGGGGAAAUGUGGGGUGAACCCCCGAAGAGGGGGGUACCCACCUUUUUCAAGGGAGGGGGGCCAAGCGAAAAAAGGGGGAAGGGGGGAGCUGUGC